CCUACGGGCGGCUGCAGUGGGGAAUAUUGGGCAAUGGGCGAAAGCCUGACCCAGCGACGCCGCGUGAAGGAUGAAGGUCUUCGGAUUGUAAACUUCUUUGAUCAGGGAAGAAAGAAAUGACGGUACCUGAAAAACAAGCCACGGCUAACUACGUGCCAGCAGCCGCGGUAAUACGUAGGUGGCAAGCGUUGUCCGGAUUUACUGGGUGUAAAGGGCGUGUAGGCGGGGAUGCAAGUCAGAUGUGAAAUCCCGCGGCUCAACCGCGGAACUGCAUCUGAAACUGCGUCUCUUGAGUGUCGGAAGGGAAAGUGGAAUUCCUAGUGUAGCGGUGAAAUGCGUAGAUAUUAGGAGGAACACCGGUGGCGAAGGCGACUUUCUGGACGAUAACUGACGCUGAGACGCGAAAGCGUGGGGAGCAAACAGGAUUAGAUACCCCGGUAGUC
rnacentral:rRNA from 1 species